GACGAACGCUGGCGGCGUGCUUAACACAUGCAAGUCGAACGGAAAGGCCCUGCUUUUGUGGGGUGCUCGAGUGGCGAACGGGUGAGUAACACGUGAGUAACCUGCCCCUGACUUUGGGAUAACUUCAGGAAACUGGGGCUAAUACCGGGUAGGAGCUCCUGCUGCAUGGUGGGGGUUGGAAAGUUUCGGCGGUUGGGGAUGGACUCGCGGCUUAUCAGCUUGUUGGUGGGGUAGUGGCUUACCAAGGCUUUGACGGGUAGCCGGCCUGAGAGGGUGACCGGCCACAUUGGGACUGAGAUACGGCCCAGACUCCUACGGGAGGCAGCAGUGGGGAAUAUUGCACAAUGGGCGGAAGCCUGAUGCAGCAACGCCGCGUGCGGGAUGACGGCCUUCGGGUUGUAAACCGCUUUCGCCUGUGACGAAGCGUGAGUGACGGUAAUGGGUAAAGAAGCACCGGCUAACUACGUG
rnacentral:rRNA from 1 species